GACGAACGCUGGCGGCGUGCUUAACACAUGCAAGUCGAGCGGUAAGGCCCUUUCGGGGGUACACGAGCGGCGAACGGGUGAGUAACACGUGGGUGACCUGCCCUCAGCUCUGGGAUAAGCCUGGGAAACUGGGUCUAAUACUGGAUAUGACUCCACGGUGCAUGUCGUGGGGUGGAAAGCCUUGUGCGGCUGAGGAUGGGCCCGCGGCCUAUCAGCUUGUUGGUGGGGUGAUGGCCUACCAAGGCGACGACGGGUAGCCGGCCUGAGAGGGCGACCGGCCACACUGGGACUGAGACACGGCCCAGACUCCUACGGGAGGCAGCAGUGGGGAAUCUUGCGCAAUGGGCGAAAGCCUGACGCAGCGACGCCGCGUGAGGGAUGACGGCCUGGUGUAACU
rnacentral:rRNA from 1 species